UUUACAUUCCCAACUCUCUUCUAACCCUAUAACCCGUCGCCGGCCACCACCACCACCACUCCAGCCGCCGGCCACCAUCGUCGCCGGAAGCACCACCACCACCACUCCUUUCUCUCUAUUUCUCUCUCCCCUCCCUCCUGUACUCUCUCUAUCCCUCCUCCUCCUUCUUGCUCAACAGACGGCGAUGCCGGAGGAAGGGAGCAAGCGAGCCAUGCUUCUUCUCCACCGCCUUCAUCAAUACAUGGAGAUUGUUGAGGCUCAGAGACUGGAAUUGGUUUUCCGGCGCCUAGGGUUCCGCUGCUUAGCCAGACGACGACGACGCUGAUUUGGGUUGUGGCGUCUGCUACUUCUGGACCUCUGGUGAUCCUAUCAGGCUUAAUUGCAGUUGUUCAUUGAUUCAGGGGGUGUUUGGGUUAGCUUAUUUUGGAGCAACUUAUGACUUAUUAACUUAUAAAAGUUAAUAAGUUGUUUUUUAAGUGUUUGGGUUAGCUUAUUUUAGAGGAUUUUGUGUGUGUGAGAAGUCAUUUUUGAGAAGUCAGAAUUCACUUAUGACUUAUAUAACUUAAUAAGUCAUUUUGAGAAGGAAUGCCAAACACCCACUCAAUCGUCUGCAAAUAUGCUUGAAUUGUUGGAUUGGAAAGAGAAAAUAUCAGUUAUUAAUGUCAAGAUCAGAUAAGGUGUGUGAACCUGGAGCUGCUGGUGUAAAAAUUAACUCACCGACAUAGUGGUUGUAAUAGGCGGCUAAGGAGUGACUUAAGUGUCUCUACCACCGCCGGCAAUGGUUCGUGUAGGAGAUUUUGGAUUUUUGAAGUUAACUGUGGGGUAAUAUUUUCAGAGAUGUGGCGGUGAAGAUUGUUGUUAGUAUAGAGAGAGAGAGAGAGGGGGAGUUACAGAGGUUGGGCGCCUGGGCGGCAGACGAGGUGGUGGUGGCGGCAGAUGAGGUGGUGGAAAGAUGUGGUGGUUAGAAAAUUGGAGAAGAUAAGAUCUAUAUGUAUUUUUUUUUGUUUUGUUUUUUUUUUAAACAUUUAAAUAAAAGCAUGAAUUUACCAUAAUACCCUUAAGUGAAUAAAUUUAACAAAAAAAUUUAACUAGGUUAGUGCUAAAGGACGUACACUGUAACGAGUUUUGCAAAUAAAGGAUUGUGACUGUAAUUAUUGAAGUUAAAGGCUAUCCGUUGCAAUCUGGUACAAACAUAAAGGACGAAAAAUGUAAUUUAUCCUUUAUGUAAAAUAUUAGUACAUGCAUAUGCAUCCUAAGCCAUAUCGGGGUCCCCACACCUCUAAACCUUGUCUAUAAAUGUUUAACGUUUUAUUUUACUUUUGAUUUUAAUCUUUCUUUUUCAUAGUGAUAUAAUUAAAAUUUGAAUAGAUCAGUUUUUAAAAAGAUCAUUUAGUAUAUUGUUAACAAUUAUAAUAAUAAUAAUAACUAGGGCUUGUAAACGAAUCGAACGUUUAGUGAACAAUUUGUGAAGCGUUCGGCGAAAAGUUCAUUUGUGUUCAUUCGUUUAUUGAAUAAACAAACACGAAUAAGAAAUCUCGUUUGAUAAGUUAAACAAAGGAACAUGAACAUGGGUUGCAUUCGUUUGUUUAUAUUCGUAAACAUUCGGUAAUGUUUUUCAUUUAUGCUCGUUCAUUAUAGGAUUUUUUUAUCUUAUAUGUUUAUUUUAUUAUCCUUAAUUUUUUAAAAUUUGAAACCAUAGUUUAACUAUAUGCCUCUGCUAACAUCCGUCAUUUAAUCAUUCCAAUUUCAGUUUGUGUUAAAACUUGAAAAACUUCUUAAGUUUUGUGUUAAUUAUGCUAAAUAUCUAUUUAUUUUUGGGUGAUUAUUUGGAAUCUCUCUAAUGAAAAAUUCAUAUUGUACUUUUAAAUGAAUACAUAAUGUUGGUUUGUGUUCAUGAACAUUUGUUUGGGUUUAUUUGUGUUCGUCUAUGUUCGGCAAGUGUUCAUAAACAAUUCACGAACAUGUUCAUUUCCUUAAUGAACGAACAAGGACACGAAAUCUCGCUCGGUAAGCGUUUGUGAACCAUUCAUAAACAUGUUCAUUCGUUAAUAUGAACGAACACAAAUAAGAUCUUGUUCGUGUUCGAUUCGUUUACAACCCUAGUAAUAACAAUAAGAAUACUAGUGUCAUUGAGAUAAAUAUUAAAUCAUAAAAGUUCAUACUAAUAAAAAGCUUGAGAAAAAAAAAUAUAUGAAUAAUUAAGUUGGUAGUGUAUUAUAUAUACCUAAAAAAAACAUUAGGUAUACAAUAUUUCUCAUUGAUUGGUUGAGAAAGGCAAUCACAUCGCUAUCAUAUACAUGUAUGCAAGCAAAUAAUUAAAAAAACAAGUAGUCUGAUGGUUAGUACUAUGGAUUUCAACUUGGCAUACUAAGACCCGAUUUUGACGAUUUGUAGUUACUGAAAGUCCAAAGAAUAAAAAAGUUAGGUUUACCGUUUUCUUAUUGAUUGGUUGAGAAAGACGAUCACACCACUAUCAUAUACAUGUAUGCAAGCAAAUAAUUAAAAGAGACAAACAAGUAGUCUGAUGGUUAGUACUAUGGAUUUCAACUUAGCAUACUAAGACCCGAUUUUGACGAUUUGUAGUUACUGAAAGUCCAAAGAAUAAAAAAGUUAGGUCUACCGUUUUAUCAUUGAUUGGUUGAGAAAGGCGAUCACACCGCUAUCAUAUAGAUGUAUGAAAGCA
rnacentral:lncRNA from 1 species